rnacentral:tRNA from 1 species
GGUGGCUCAGCGGUAAAGCACUUGCCUUGCAUGCAUGAGGCCCUGGGUUCAAUUCCUCAGCACCA